rnacentral:misc_RNA from 1 species
GGAAGUAAAGUCGUAACAAGGUUUCCGUAGGUGAACCUGCGGAAGGAUCAUUAAUGAGUUGUCAUGGGGUUCGAUGCUGGCAGCCAAUUUUUGGAUGCAUGUGCUUGCCCUAACAAUCAUCUUCCAAACACCUGUGCACGUUUUUGAGGGAGUCUUGAGUUGGUUGCCGCUCUUGGGUGAUUUUCUCACAUUCCCUUAAAUCAUUAUACGCUAUUAACAAUGUUGAACGUGCUCUGUGCCGCAAGGCUAUUAAUAUAAUACAACUUUUAACAACGGAUCUCUUGGCUCUC